GCGCAUCUGUGCAUGCAGCAUAUCAAUAAGCGGAGGAAAAGAAACUAACAAGGAUUCCCCUAGUAACGGCGAGUGAAGCGGGAAGAGCUCAAAUUUGAAAUCUUAAAGGGUUUCCCUUUACGAAUUGUAGUUUAAAGAAGUGUUUUCUGUUGAGGUUUUGGUAAAAGUUCUUUGGAAUAGGACAUCAUAGAGGGUGAGAAUCCCGUAUUUGACCUUUACUUUCAACUUUGUGAUACACUUUCAAAGAGUCGGAUUGUUUGGGAAUGCAGUCCAAAAUGGGUGGUAAAUUUCAUCUAAAGCUAAAUAUUGGCGAGAGACCGAUAGCGAACAAGUACCGUGAGGGAAAGAUGAAAAGAACUUUGAAAAGAGAGUUAAACAGUACGUGAAAUUGUCAAAAGGGAAGCGUUUGACACCAGUGUUGUUUUUCUGAAAAUCAAUUAAAGAACUGUUUAUGCUAAGUUGUUUAGACUUUAUCAGCUAACUGUUUAGUUUUGAGCUUUUCUUUAAUGCACUUUUCAGUUAACAAGUCAACAUCAAUUUCUUUUGCUGUAAAAAAGCUUGAGGAAGGUGGCUUGAGAUUCGUCUUAAGUGUUUAUAGCCUCUUGCCUAUGCAGUCGGAGAGAUUGAGGUCUGCAGCGUAGAUCCUUCGGGGCUAAAUGCAUUUGUGCUAAGUUAUAGCAUUUUAUAGACAACUUGUUGACUAUGAUUUGUCUUGUAGCUUACUCGCUUAUGUUAUUUUACCUACGCUUAGGAUGUUGACAGCAGUAUAGACUGU
rnacentral:rRNA from 1 species